UACGUAGGGUGCGAGCGUUAAUCGGAAUUACUGGGCGUAAAGCGUGCGCAGGCGGUUCGUUAAGUCAGCUGUGAAAGCCCCGAGCUCAACCUGGGAACUGCGGUUGAAACUGGCGAACUAGAAUCUGGCAGAGGGGGGUGGAAUUCCACGUGUAGCAGUGAAAUGCGUAGAGAUGUGGAGGAACACCGAUGGCGAAGGCAGCCCCCUGGGCUGAGAUUGACGCUCAGGCACGAAAGCGUGGGGAGCAAACAGG
rnacentral:rRNA from 1 species